GUAUGACUGUGUUUGGGACGGGCAUGUGGUCUCUGAUUGGCUGAUCACACCCCCUGAGAAUCCUUUGUUUAGCGUUAAAAAAUGUUGAAUAGACAGCCAGCUUUUGGGAGCAGCCCUGUGCAGAAGAAAGAUGGAGAAGCAUCUGAGGACCUCCUUGGUGGUUUUGUGGCUUCAUUUUUGUUGGGUGAGUGGCAAAAACCAAGUGGAACAGCAUCCUCCAUCCCAGAUCAUCCAGGAGGGAGAGAACUGCACAUUUCAUUGCAACUAUACAGUGAGCCCCUUUAGCCAUUUAAAAUGGUACAAGCAGGGCACCGGGAGAAGUCCUGCUUUCCUGAUAAUCAUGACUUACGAUGACAGCAAAAACCCAAGUGGCAGGUACACAGGGACUCUGGAUGCAACCUCCAAGCACAGCUCCUUGCACAUCACAGCCGCCCAGCUCAGCGACUCAGCUGUCUACAUCUGUGUGGUGAGCGCACUGUGUUCCCCAGGCACUUGCAGCCAGUACACAAACCUGCACCUGCAGGUUGUUGAGGACGCUUAGCAGGUGACGUACUAGCAUUGUUUUGUUUGUUUGUUUGUUUGUUUUCUUUUUUUUAUGUUGUAUAUACUUUCACUAGUGAGCUGGUACUUCUUUCUUACACAUGACUGAGUUUGAGCUGAAGCCAGGAUGUCUACACAGCACAAAGUUACCCUCAUUCAACACAUAAAGUUAACUGCCACAUCUGGCUAUUCCCAAAGGUAAGACUGCCAUGUUGCCUUACUUCUGUUGAAGUAAAUGAUGAUUUUGUCUUAAAGAGAGAAAUUGGCUCUGUCUGGGGUCCAGCGACCAGUUCCUACUGUCAACGAAGUGGAAAAGCAACAAGUUGAUGGGGCUGAUCACAGUAUUUGACUAGCUUCCUUCCCCUUGACAGAUUUUUAUUCCUCAUUUAAUGGCUAUUCAAGUUCUCAGGAUGCAUUCUGUGGGGAGAGAUCUGCUUUACCAAUUUAUCUGUGCUUCACAUCAAGGCACCUUUCCAGAUGCGGCACAGACUCAUUUAUUGUCAUCCACGGCUGCUCCUUUGGAGAACAUCGCUGCUCAGACUAUUAUGCCAGCAUGAGGCUGGCAGGCACAGUCACUCCGAGGCAACAGGCCAGCUGUCCCAGACUCUUCAGCUAAUAGUAUCCUAGAAAAGAAGCGUAAGGGACAAAAUGUCUACAUGCUAUAGGGUAGUCUUAGAUUGCCCAAAUUAGCUGUGAUGAUCUUUUUUGAGACGCUUACAGAAAUUUAAAUAUGGUUUGAGUGUUGGAUGAGAUAACUAUUUAUUUUAUUUGAAAAGCAUAUGUUAACUGAGAAAAACAAGAAGGACGUAUGAGUCAUUAAAAAUGGCAAUCUCUUUGAGUGGUAAGAAUACGCCACUUGACCUGAGCGAAAACUGAGAGUAGCACUGUUAACUGACUGAGCUACCCAGGUGCCCCACCAAUUUCUUGCUUCUAGUGUAUUUUA